rnacentral:rRNA from 1 species
AUUGAACGCUGGCGGCAUGCCUUACACAUGCAAGUCGAACGGCAGCGGGGACUUCGGUCCACCGGCGAGUGGCGAACGGGUGAGUAAUGUAUCGGAACGUACCAUUCAGUGGGGGAUAACUAUCCGAAAGGAUAGCUAAAACCGCAUAUUCUGUGAGCAGGAAAGCAGGGGAUCGCAAGACCUUGCGCUGAUUGAGCGGCCGAUAUCAGAUUAGCUAGUUGGUGAGGUAACGGCUCACCGAGGCUACGAUCUGUAGCGGGUCUGAGAGGAUGAUCCGCCACACUGGGACUGGGACACGGCCCAGACUCCUACGGGAGGCAGCAGUGAGGAAUUUGGACAAUGGGCGCAAGCCUGAUCCAGCCAUGCCGCGUGAGUGAAGAAGGCCUUCGGGUUGUAAAGCUCUUUCGGCCGGGAAGAAAUCGCAUCAGCUAAUACCUGGUGUGGAUGACGGUACCGGAAUAAGAAGCACCGGCUAACUACGUGCCAGCCGCCGCCGUAAUAC